UCAGGACGAACGCUGGCGGCGUGCCUAAUACAUGCAAGUCGAACGAACUCUGGUAUUGAUUGGUGCUUGCAUCAUGAUUUACAUUUGAGUGAGUGGCGAACUGGUGAGUAACACGUGGGAAACCUGCCCAGAAGCGGGGGAUAACACCUGGAAACAGAUGCUAAUACCGCAUAACAACUUGGACCGCAUGGUCCGAGUUUGAAAGAUGGCUUCGGCUAUCACUUUUGGAUGGUCCCGCGGCGUAUUAGCUAGAUGGUGAGGUAACGGCUCACCAUGGCAAUGAUACGUAGCCGACCUGAGAGGGUAAUCGGCCACAUUGGGACUGAGACACGGCCCAAACUCCUACGGGAGGCAGCAGUAGGGAAUCUUCCACAAUGGACGAAAGUCUGAUGGAGCAACGCCGCGUGAGUGAAGAAGGGUUUCGGCUCGUAAAACUCUGUUGUUAAAGAAGAACAUAUCUGAGAGUAACUGUUCAGGUAUUGACGGUAUUUAACCAGAAAGCCACGGCUAACUACGUGCCAGCAGCCGCGGUAAUACGUAGGUGGCAAGCGUUGUCCGGAUUUAUUGGGCGUAAAGCGAGCGCAGGCGGUUUUUUAAGUCUGAUGUGAAAGCCUUCGGCUCAACCGAAGAAGUGCAUCGGAAACUGGGAAACUUGAGUGCAGAAGAGGACAGUGGAACUCCAUGUGUAGCGGUGAAAUGCGUAGAUAUAUGGAAGAACACCAGUGGCGAAGGCGGCUGUCUGGUCUGUAACUGACGCUGAGGCUCGAAAGUAUGGGUAGCAAACAGGAUUAGAUACCCUGGUAGUCCAUACCGUAAACGAUGAAUGCUAAGUGUUGGAGGGUUUCCGCCCUUCAGUGCUGCAGCUAACGCAUUAAGCAUUCCGCCUGGGGAGUACGGCCGCAAGGCUGAAACUCAAAGGAAUUGACGGGGGCCCGCACAAGCGGUGGAGCAUGUGGUUUAAUUCGAAGCUACGCGAAGAACCUUACCAGGUCUUGACAUACUAUGCAAAUCUAAGAGAUUAGACGUUCCCUUCGGGGACAUGGAUACAGGUGGUGCAUGGUUGUCGUCAGCUCGUGUCGUGAGAUGUUGGGUUAAGUCCCGCAACGAGCGCAACCCUUAUUAUCAGUUGCCAGCAUUAAGUUGGGCACUCUGGUGAGACUGCCGGUGACAAACCGGAGGAAGGUGGGGAUGACGUCAAAUCAUCAUGCCCCUUAUGACCUGGGCUACACACGUGCUACAAUGGAUGGUACAACGAGUUGCGAACUCGCGAGAGUAAGCUAAUCUCUUAAAGCCAUUCUCAGUUCGGAUUGUAGGCUGCAACUCGCCUACAUGAAGUCGGAAUCGCUAGUAAUCGCGGAUCAGCAUGCCGCGGUGAAUACGUUCCCGGGCCUUGUACACACCGCCCGUCACACCAUGAGAGUUUGUAACACCCAAAGUCGGUGGGGUAACCUUUUAGGAACCAGCCGCCUAAGGUGGGACAGAUGAUUAGGGUGAAGUCGUA
rnacentral:rRNA from 2 species